UAAUUUUAAAAAGUAUUGUAUUUGGUAAAAGUGUUACUCGAAAAAGUAUUUUGGAUGAUGACAAUUAAAAUUUGCCAUCAAUUUGGCAAAUGUUUUGUCACCGCAACAUUUGUGUUUGACCAAAGUUUCAAAAGUGUUUUUAGAAAAAAACAAUAUUUUUUUCAGUUUUUGCUAUUACUAAAAAACACCAAAACACCUCAAAUUUCUAAAAUAAACAUUUUUUAAAAAAAUGAAUACUUUUAGCUUCUCCAAAACUUGAUCAAACAUGCUAAUAAUGUACUUCGACCUUUUCAUUUAUGUAGCACCAUUUGACUUGCACGAUGUUUAAGAAAAAAACACUUUCGAAUUUUAUGAUUUAAAACAAUUCUUAAAUA
rnacentral:misc_RNA from 1 species